UGUGAAGCCCGGGGACUGGGAGACACCCAGGGAGGGACGUGCCAGGAAGGAGGCCCUGAAGAUUGAUUUCUUGGGAAGGGACGUGGCUUUCUUGGCCUGUGUUGCUAGCUCUGAACUUUUUUGAAAAGCGUUUAUUAAUAUCUCUCUCUCUUUCUUUUCGAGACAGGGUUUCUCUGUAUAUAUAGCCCAGGCUGACCUCUCUGCCUCAGGAGAGCUGGGAUGCGCAACCACACCCGGCUAAUACAUUCUAAUUAUUAUUUUUUUUUUCCGAGACAGGGUUUCUCAGUGUAGCUUUGUAGACAGGGCUGGCCUCGAACUCACAUAGAUCCUCUGCCUCCCGAGUGCUGAGAUUAAAGGCCAGCGCCACCACAGCCCGCCUUCUGGCUGAUGUAUCUUAGCUACCCCCUUCCCUCGGAGAACUCUUAAUUGAACCCAGCCUCUACCUGUUAGGCAAGUGCUCUAGCACCGAGCAAUAUCCCUAACACACUUGUUCUAUUUUUGAGCUCAGGCAGGCUUUGAAAUUGAACCCCAGUUCCUCUCCAUAGGAUUGCAGGUGUGUGUCACCGCGCUGUUUCGUGCAAUUCUUGGGAUUAAACCCAACACUUCAUACAAGCUAGGCAAAAGUUACGCCACUGAGUUUAUCCUCAACCCCAGAAUUCUCACUUGUAAGUUUUGGGACCAGAGAUUCCUGUCUCCAACACACCAAUAAAAUCUUUUUGCAUCAGCCGUGGCUUGUUCCUCUGAGUUUAUAGCUACCGUAACACUGAAUAAUAACUAUUCCUGAUAGUCGGGUUUUACAAAGGGUUUUCAGGUUGUAGUGCUAGCAGCUGGCCCAGUAGGUGUCCCUGAGAGUAGCAGCGGAAGCAGAAGGUGCAAUCCUACGGUGCAAUCCUACGCUGCCACCUGGAGCAGCCUGCAUUCUUUGCAGAGAUUUCUACCCAAGUGAAGCAAAGAUUGUUUUCUUUUUGGUGUUGAGCCGGUGUCCAUAUGUAGCCCUGGCUGCCCUGGAACUCCCUCUGUACAACAGGCUGCCGGCUGCCUCCUCCUCCAGCACCCAGCGGAGAAGCAGAGAUUCUUGACUAUAUACUACAGAAAAACACUUUAGGGCAAAUCAGUAUGAAGCAGAGUGGGAAGAUAUUAACAUAAGGGAUUUAAGUUUGGGGAUUAAUAGACAUUUGGAAAAGGACAUAGAAGGUGUGGAUACAGGCUUUGCAAGUGCAGGAAACUGCACUUAGCUUUUCUUUCUGUAAUUAAGAUCACAGAGUGGGGGCUGGAGAGAUGGAUGGCUCAUUGCUUAAGGAGCACUGCAGCUCCUCCAGAGGUCCUGAGUUCAACUCUCAGUUGAACUAUACACGGUGGCUCACACCAUGUAUAGUGGGAUCUGAUGCCCCCUUCUGGCAUAAAGGUGUACAUGCAAGUGGAGCACACAAAUCUUUCUAAAAAUGGUCACAGGAUGAGAUUAGUGAGGUACAUUGGAAGGGAAGGCUUACAGUGAUGUCAUGCUACAAGGGCCAAAGGACCCUUUGAUUAUCCUCGGUCCCUAGGGUGCUGACAUGUUUAUAAUCUUGUUUGUGAGAUUCACAGAAAGUUGCAGGUUGCAGCUGGUAAAGCUGUGAGGUUUCAUCCAAAGGUCAGAUGUAUUUUGGCCACAAGAAGUUCCUCUCUAUAUUAUUUAACCAUUUUAAUUUUUCUUAUAUAGUCUCAUUCUGACUGGUUGUCCUGGAACUGACUAGGCUGAUCUUGAACUCACAUAGAUUCACCCGCCUUUGGUUCCUGAGUGCUGGGAUUAAAGGUGUGCAUCACUACACCCUGCUGGUUCUUUGUUAUUUUAACUUUUGGGUUUGGAAUACCUCUAUAAAGAUCAUUGUUCCUCUGCAGACAAACGUCACCGUGAAUUUUGUUAGUUGUACUGGAAUUUGACCCGGUGAGAGACUUCAACCAGACUCUAGGAUGGGAUCUUUAUUUUCCCAUGUCCUUUCCUCACCCUGCCUCAAUAGUUCAGUGUUAAAAAGAAGGACAGUGUAAGAGGCCAGCCAAAACAGAACUUGUUUCCUGUAGCCACCAAGUGACUUCAUGUAAACACUUGUUACUUUGAGUCAGGGUGUUAUGCCGAGGCACUGAUAAUUAUUUGAGAAGAUUUCAGUAUGUAGCUUUGGCUGGCCUGAAACUACCAGAGAUCUACCCUCUGUUGUGUUUAAUUCGAUUAAAACCAUACACUAUUCCCCCCUUCAUUUUUAUUUAUUUUUUUUUAAGAUUUAUCUUUUGCUGGACAUAGUAGCCCAUGCCCUUAAUCCCUCCUUUAAUCCCAGCAUUCAAGAGGCAGAGGCAAGAGGAUCACUGGUAGUGAUCCUCUACCAGCAUGAGGCUAGCAUAUUAUCAUCUGCAUAGCCAAUUAUUGGACAUCCAGGACUGCAUACUGAUUUUGUCUUGAAAACGAAGAGCAGGAAGCACUCAGAACUGCUAAAUCAUCUCCCUAGCACCUAUUUCCUCCCCCCGUAACUCCAUUUAAAUCAUGUAUACAUGCUUGUGCAUGUACAUAUAUAUUUUUAUGUGCACUGAUGUUUUGACUGCAUGUAUAUCUAUGAGAAUGUCAGAUCUUGAAGUUAUAGUGUGAGCUGCCAUGUGGGUGCUGGGAAUUGAACCCUGGUUUUCUGGAAAAGCAAAGCUGUCUUUCCAACUAUUAUUAUUAUUAUUUUGAUAAUAAAAUUUUUAUUAUUCAUUUUAGUCUUCGUUUGGGGCCCUCCUGUCCAGUGUUGGAAUGAACAGUGUCCAACCACAAACAUCCAUGCACUGUUCUUGAGUGGACUGAAUAAGUUUGGACCUCUGGUUCCUUUACGGCUUUGCCCUUGUCUGUCACCCCAUGGGGGCACCCUUGUUGAUUUUUGUUGCUAAUAUGCAGUGCUUUGUGCCCGGCAUUAUUUUUAUUACUCUAUGGAGACGGUAUCUGCUGUUGAGCCUGCAGCCCUGACAAAUCCCACAUGAUGGAAGGAGACAACUGACUCUUACAAGUUGUCCCCUGAACUCCAUGCAUGUACCCUGUCCUCCAACAAAGUAAAUGAGGCUGAGGCAGGAUUGAGGCCAGCCUGGUAUACAAAGAAAGCAUUGUGGUGUCAGUCCUGUAGGUCAAGGACGGAGAACAGAACCAUCUAAUAAUGGAUGUCAGUGACUUGACAGUACAUAAAGGUAGGCUUUCACGCAAAUAUUUUCU